CUGCGAAUCAUUCUCGCUGCCCUGGCAUCGGUGGCCAGGGGAGGCUAGACAUUCGCUAGAGCAAAACUGCAUUGUGUCCUCCAGGACUAGACUGCUGCUCUAGGACUGGCUUUGUGAAUGCUAGUCACAGCU
rfam:Picoides pubescens contig61001, whole genome shotgun sequence.